rnacentral:rRNA from 1 species
GUUCAAGUUUUUAAGGGCACACGGUGAAUGCCUUGGCAUUAGGAGCCGAAGAAGGACGUAGGAAUCUGCGAU